rnacentral:rRNA from 1 species
UUAAAUUCCUCACUUCACAUUUAGUGGAAGAUUUAUAUCGUCUGUAAUAGAGCUUUUAUAGGAUUAGGUAGUUGUUAUAGUAAUUAUUUAACAAGCCGACGAUGCUUAGCUGGUUUGAGAGAAUGAUCAGCCACAUUGGGACUGAAAACGGCCCAAGUCUUCUAAAAGGGCAGCAGUGGAGAAUAUUUGACAAUGGGCGAAAGCUUGAUCGAGUAAUGUUACGUGGGUGAUCAGAAGGCUUAAUUGCUGUAAAACUCGUUUCGUCAAGGAUUAUAAUGCAAUCGUACUUGAAGGAGAAGCCCUGACUAACUUCGUGCCAGCAGUCGCGGUAAUACGGAGAGGGCUAGUGUUAUUCGCAUUGACUGGGUGUAAAGGGCGCGUAGGUGGCUCGUUAAGUUUCAAAGCAAAUAUUAAACAUAGCGUUUAAAAACUUUUUAAUACUAACGGGCUAGAGUUUAUUAGAAGGUAGCUGAACAUUAAGUGUAAAGGUGAAAUUUUCCGAUAUUUAAAGGGCAUGCAAUAGGCGAAGGCUGCUACCUAUUUUAAUACUGACACUGAGGCGCAAAAGCAUAGGUAUCAAACAGGAUUAGAGACCCUGGUAGUCUAUGCCCUGACCGAUGAAUAUUAAUUACGUUUUUGAAAAAUGUGAUUUAGCUAACGCGUAAAUAUUCCACCUGAGUACUACGACCGCAAGGUUAAAACUCAAAGAAACUGACGGAAGAUUGUAUAAGCGGUGGAGUAUGUGGUUUAAUUUGAUAUAACGCAAAGAAUCUUACCAACCCUUGAAUACAAGUAGAUAUUUUUCAGUAUUCCGGCAACGGGAUGACUGGCGUAUUUGUAGGUUUUUUUUUAUUUAAUAAAAAAAAAAAAUACAGACUUGUACAGGUGCUGCAUGGUUGUCGGCAGUCCGUGUUGUGAAAUGUUUUGUUAAUUCAUUUAACGGACGUAACCUUCAGUUAUAUUUGUUUAAAAAAUAUAGCAAUAUUAAUUUUCUAAAAUUAAUUGAGAGAAGAGGAAGUCAAAUCAUUAUGGCCUAUAUAGGUUGGGCUACACACGUACUACAAUGGUAAUCACAAUGUGAAGCAUUGGUGUAAGCCGAAGCGAAUCAUUAAAAAUUUAU